AAAAUAUAUGUAUCUUUUUAAAUCAUCUUAAUUUAUAUUUAUUUUGAUGUAUUUCUCCACACUGUGUGUGUAAUUUCCACUCAUGAAGUAAUUUGCUUCGUUGAUUUUAUGGGAGUAAUUUGUGAUUAGUGCUUGCAAAAUAGUUUGAUUGUAUUUAAUGAAUAAGUGGUUUGUUGACAUUGUCCUAUUACCUGACCUAGACACAGACUCUUUGGAAAAGGAAGGGGACUGAGGUUGUCAUUGCAACUGUUAGGACAAACAAUGGUAACUCAAUAAUUUGCCUGAGGCAUAAUGACCUCAUCUCACUAAGGCCACACAAUCUGCUUAAUGGUGAGGUAGGUGAACAUGCUUUUUUCACACACAUUAAUAUGCAAAAAAAAUAUUCCUACUGUCCAUAAAAGGGAAUUUAUUUCUCAAAUGCAUUUCUAGGCAAUGGAGUUUUUCAUUCAAGCCACUCUUUCAAGGAUGGGGGGUGUGCGCCGACUGUAUGUGUUACAUCACUUCGUCAUUGGUGUAAUUUUGUUCGGAGAAACCUCACAAAUCUCAAGGCAAAGUUUAAAGACUGUAAGUACAGAAUGACUAUGAAUAUGUGAACUCAGAACAAUGAUAACAUUGUUCUGAAGAAUUUCAAAAUUUGAAACUAAUUUGUUAUCAAAUAAUGUCAUAGGUGGACUUUGAUCAGUACGAUGGUGUGAUUGGAUUUGUUAAUGUAAACAACAACCACUGGAAGUUUGUGUACCUUCAUGCUCCAACAAGCCAAAUAUUCAUCAUUGAUCCUGCUGACCCUGGGAUUGAUCUGGAAGAGACCAGGAAAGCAGCAAAACGCUUCCGCAAAUACUUUAGGACAAGGUUUAAUCUAAACGGACAAAAGGAUUGGUUGACCUUGGCAUGGAAACCUGCCACCAUUUCCCACACAACACAGAGAGAUGGAAC